UCUCCGUUGGUGAACCAGCGGAGGGAUCAUUAUAGAGUUUUAUAACUCCCAACCCUUUGUGAACUUACCUUUGUUGCCUCGGCGGGGCCUACCCGGUACCGACCCCUUUUGGGCGAAGUUACCCUGUAGCCCGCCGGCGGCCCCUACCAAACCUCUUGUUUUUACAGUGUCUCCUCUGAGUUACAAACACAAAUGAAUCAAAACUUUCAACAACGGAUCUCUUGGUUCUGGCAUCGAUGAAGAACGCAGC
rnacentral:misc_RNA from 1 species